UUUUUUUUUUUUCCCUGUCUAGGAGCAGCACUCUAGUCAGCAGAGUGAGGAGCUGACUAGAAGGUGUACCUUGGAUCAUAACAAAAGGCACAUCCCUCCUUAAACGUUUACCUUAAAAGUAACACAGAUCUGCAAUACUUAUAUUUGUCAUUACUGUGGAUUCUGGUACUCUGUUCAUUGCUAAAAUACAGUAUCCUCUCUGAAAGAACAACACAAUUUAGUAACAUUUAUUUUGGGAUAAUCAACAGAUUAGUCAUCUAAAAUGCUAGCCACAAGCAGCUAUAACUCAGCUGCAAAAAAGUAAGUGUAAUCUUAAUCUAUAUUAAUAGAAGUGUAAUUUCAUAAUGAAGUAAAUAAAACCCAGGGAAGGAAAAUGUCACUAUAAUCUGGGAGAGGGGUGGGAGUAAAGAAGGGUAAGAAGAAAAAGUCAGACAAUAGAGGUGUUCAGAUGGGAGGACUUUAUUGAAGAAAUAGCAUAAUGGGAGACAGUGUGGGGAUUCUGGAGGCGGCACUGGGAUUCUGGGCCUUGGAGCUGAGGAGAGAUAUGCCUGACUUGAAGGAAAAGUCUUAAUGACUUCAAGGAUGGGUCAUGCACCCAAAAUUUAAAAGAGGAAUUAGCUAAUGGUUGUGAGGUGCUUUGCCCUUUACAAAUUACUUUCAUAUUGAUGAUGUAUUUAAUCCAUCCACCUGCUGAUACAGCAUCUAUUAUUCUCAUUUUAAAAAUGGAAACUGGAGUUCCCUUUGUGGCUCAGUGGUUAAUAAGCCCAACUAGGAACCAUGAGGUUGAGGGUUCCAUCCCUGGCCUCGCUCUGUGGGUUAAGGAUCUGACUGUGGUGUAAGUUGCAGACACAGCUCAGAUCCUGCAUUGCUGUGGCAGUGGUGUAGGCCAGCAGCUAUAGCUCCGAUUCAACCCCUAGCCUGGGAACCUCCAAAUGCCGUGGAUGCGGCCCUAAAAAGCAAAAAAAAAAAAAAAAAAAAAAAAAUAAUAUAAANAAUAAAGAUGGAAACUAAGCCUGAGAUGAAAUGAUUUGCCCUGAUUCAUAUCUGGUCUUUUUUUUUUUUUUUUUUUUUUUUUUUUGUCUUUUUGCCAUUUUCUUGGGCCGCUCUCACAACAUAUGGAGCGGCCCAAGAAAUGGCAAAAAGACAAAAAGAAAAAGAUAAGUGCUUUGGAAAGGAAAAAAAACAAGGUCUCUGCUAAAAUCACCACACAGCUCUCCCAUAACUGCUGCCCACACCACCAAGAAACGCAGUAUCAAAAAUCAACACUUAUUAAGAAUAAACCACAACAGCUGAACAGGUAAGAAUCAUGAGGAUCCCCAUGUGAGCCACCAAAAUAAUUAUGUCUAGUUUUUUUUAAAGCUGUACUGCAGGUAGGGAAAAGCAUCUUGAUAUCAUAGACGGGGAAAUGAUUUUACUAAGCUCAUCAUAUAUGUGGUAGGCAAUCCAUAGGCAUUUUACUUUUAUAGGGCAGUGGGUAAAUAUUCCCAGAAAAACUGAAUAGCAUUUGAAUAUGAUUUCACCUAUACAGCUGACAUAUUUCCCUUUUUGAGCUCCCUUGUUCUGUGUGAUUUGGCCUUCAAUAACAGAUGAAAAUAUAUUUAUGAAAAGUCAUAAAUGAUAUUAAUAUUUUGCUGAUAUUCUUCUUCAGAAUGAAGACAGCUUAUGUCAUACUGCAUUUGGUUUACUGAUUUUAAAAACUGCAAAAUAAAGACCUAAGAAAUAAUUAGCUCAGCAAUUCCUGACCUCAAUUUAGUAAUGCAGGCUUUGUACCCAUCUCACACUAGGAUAUCUGC
rnacentral:lncRNA from 1 species